AGCAGCCGCGGUAAUUCCAGCUCCAAUAGCGUAUAUUAAAGUUGUUGCAGUUAAAAAGCUCGUAGUUGAAUUUCGGGAUUGACACAUCGGUCGUGCCUCAAGGGGUAUGAACUGGUGUAGUCAAUUUCUCACCUUCUGGAGAACCGCGAUGCCCUUAAUUGGGUGUCACGGGGAACCAGGACCUUUACUUUGAAAAAUUAGAGUGUUUAAAGCAGGCAUUUUGCUUGAAUACAUUAGCAUGGAAUAAUAAAAUAGGACGGCAUGAUUCUAUUUUGUUGGUUUCUAGGAUCACCGUAAUGGUUAAUAGGGAUAGUUGGGGGCAUUAGUAUUCAAUUGUCAGAGGUGAAAUUCUUGGAUUUACUGAAGACUAACUACUGCGAAAGCAUUUGCCAAGGAUGUUUUCAUUAAUCAAGAACGAAAGUUAGGGGAUCGAAGACGAUCAGAUACCGU
rnacentral:rRNA from 1 species